rnacentral:rRNA from 1 species
CAGUAGCCGCGGGAAUACGUAGGUAGCAAGCGUUGUCCGGAAUUAUUGGGCGUGAAGGGCUCGCAGGCGGUUUCUUAAGUCUGAUGUGAAAGCCCCCGGCUCAACCGGGGAGGGUCAUUGGAAACUGGGAAACUUGAGUGCAGAAGAGGAGAGUGGAAUUCCACGUGUAGCGGUGAAAUGCGUAGAGAUGUGGAGGAACACCAGUGGCGAAGGCGACUCUCUGGUCUGUAACUGACGCUGAGGAGCGAAAGCGUGGGGAGCGAACAGGAUUAGAUACCCCGGUAGUCCCUGUCUCUUAUAC